rnacentral:rRNA from 1 species
GAUGAACGCUAGCGAUAGGCUUAACACAUGCAAGUCGAGGGGCAGCACAAGGUAGCUUGCUCUCUGGGUGGCGACCGGCGCACGGGUGCGUAACGCGUAUGCAACUUGCCCUAUACAGGAGGAUAACCCGUCGAAAGACGGACUAAUACUGCGUAUGCUCACAACUUGGCAUCAAGUGGUGAGGAAAGAAAUUCGGUAUAGGAUAGGCAUGCGUCCCAUUAGCUUGUUGUGAGGUAACGGCUCACCAAGGCAACGAUGGGUAGGGGAACUGAGAGGUUUAUCCCCCACACUGGUACUGAGACACGGACCAGACUCCUACGGGAGGCAGCAGUGAGGAAUAUUGGUCAAUGGGCGCGAGCCUGAACCAGCCAAGUCGCGUGAAGGAUGACUGUCUUAUGGAUUGUAAACUUCUUUUAGACGGGAAUAACAAGAGUCACGUGUGACUCCCUGCAUGUACCGUAUGAAUAAGCAUCGGCUAACUCCGUG